rnacentral:rRNA from 1 species
AUUGAACGCUGGCGGCAUGCUUUACACAUGCAAGUCGAACGGCAGCGCGGGGCAACCUGGCGGCGAGUGGCGAACGGGUGAGUAAUACAUCGGAACGUACCCAGAAGUGGGGGAUAACGUAGCGAAAGUUACGCUAAUACCGCAUACGUUCUACGGAAGAAAGUGGGGGACCUUCGGGCCUCAUGCUUUUGGAGCGGCCGAUGUCUGAUUAGCUAGUUGGUGAGGUAAAGGCUCACCAAGGCGACGAUCAGUAGCUGGUCUGAGAGGACGACCAGCCACACUGGGACUGAGACACGGCCCAGACUCCUACGGGAGGCAGCAGUGGGGAAUUUUGGACAAUGGGCGCAAGCCUGAUCCAGCAAUGUCGCGUGAGUGAAGAAGGCCUUCGGGUUGUAAAGCUCUUUUGUCAGGGAAGAAACGGCUGAGGAUAAUACCUUCGGCUAAUGACGGUACCUGAAGAAUAAGCACCGGCUAACUACGUG